UGUUUUAAUUUUAUAAACAGAUUAGAGUUAAUUCCGCCCCAGAAACUUUAGAACAUGAAACGAAAUGCUGUUUUAGUCGUGUGUGUGUUGCUGGUGGCAUUCCAGUUAGCUGAUUGCUUUUCGAGGAGACGAUUUGACUUUUCUAGACGCCGAAUCUACGUCGCUCGACGUAGAUCUCUCGCUUUCGCUCACCGGAGGCGUUUUGGGGAUACUGCUGAAAACGAAAACAACCCAAUCAAGACGGAUUCCGACGAAACGUCAUACAUUCAUAGCGACCAAGCGGAUGACGAGUUAAUGCAAAUGGCAGAGGAGUAACAAUUCCCAAGUCUGAAUACAAUAAAAGGACUGACCCCAGCACGACCCUGACUUCCCAACUGUUUGAUCAACGUUUAUAUUUACACAUUUACAUGCAUUUUUAUUAAUGUUGGUCAGAUUUUUUUCUUUUUUGUAAUCGGUAAUAAAAAGACUUUUAAAAUGUAAA